rnacentral:rRNA from 1 species
CGCAUCUGUGCAUGCAGCAUAUCAAUAAGGGAGGAAAAGAAACUAACAAGGAUUCCCCUAGUAACGGCGAGUGAAGCGGGAAGAGCUCAAAUUUGAAAUCUUAAAGGGUUUCCCUUUACGAAUUGUAGUUUAAAGAAGUGUUUUCUGUUGAGGUUUUGGUAAAAGUUCUUUGGAAUAGGACAUCAUAGAGGGUGAGAAUCCCGUAUUUGACCUUUACUUUCAACUUUGUGAUACACUUUCAAAGAGUCGGAUUGUUUGGGAAUGCAGUCCAAAAUGGGUGGUAAAUUUCAUCUAAAGCUAAAUAUUGGCGAGAGACCGAUAGCGAACAAGUACCGUGAGGGAAAGAUGAAAAGAACUUUGAAAAGAGAGUUAAACAGUACGUGAAAUUGUCAAAAGGGAAGCGUCUGACACCAGUGUUGUUUUUCUGAAAAUCAAUUAAAGAACUGUUUAUGCUAAGUUGUUUAGACUUUAUCAGCUAACUGUUUAGUUUUGAGCUUUUCUUUAAUGCACUUUUCAGGUUAACAAGUCAACAUCAAUUUCUUUUGCUGUAAAAAAGCUUGAGGAAGGUGGCUUGAGAUUCGUCUUAAGUGUUUAUAGCCUCUUGCCUAUGCAGUCGGAGAGAUUGAGGUCUGCAGCGUAGAUCCUUCGGGGCUAAAUGCAUUUGUGCUAAGUUAUAGCAUUUUAUAGACAACUUGUUGACUAUGAUUUGUCUUGUAGCUUACUCGCUUAUGUUAUUUUACCUACGCUUAGGAUGUUGAGCGCAUGUCUCUCUCU